rnacentral:rRNA from 1 species
AUUGAACGCUGGCGGCAUGCUUUACACAUGCCAGUCGAACGGUAACAGGCCGCAAGGUGCUGACGAGUGGCGGACGGGUGAGUAAUGCAUCGGAACGUGCCCAGUCGUGGGGGAUAACUACUCGAAAGAGUAGCUAAUACCGCAUACGAUCUAUGGAUGAAAGCGGGGGACCGUAAGGCCUCGCGCGAUUGGAGCGGCCGAUGUCAGAUUAGGUAGUUGGUGGGGUAAAGGCUCACCAAGCCAACGAUCUGUAGCUGGUCUGAGAGGACGACCAGCCACACUGGGACUGAGACACGGCCCAGACUCCUACGGGAGGCAGCAGUGGGGAAUUUUGGACAAUGGGCGCAAGCCUGAUCCAGCAAUGCCGCGUGCAGGAAGAAGGCCUUCGGGUUGUAAACUGCUUUUGUACGGAACGAAACGGCUCUGGUUAAUACCCGGGGCUAAUGACGGUACCGUAAGAAUAAGCACCGGCUAACUACGUG